UGUCACUGCCACGACGGCCACCCCUCCCCUUCCACACACACACACACACACACACAUACUGGAACAACGAGAGCAAGCCCUCCCUCAAAAAAAAAGAUAAGGCUGCGAGCGCUGCUCUCGCUAUUUGCACACUGGUAGGCACGGACGUGCAUGCAUAGAAGGCACAGUCUAGAGGCACCUCUGAAUGCUCACACACCCACAGAGGUAUCCACACAUAUUGGCGCACUCAUAUAUCGAGCACCGUCAUGACAUCACGUAUCUUGUCCGUUCGCAAGUCUUUGGUGUACCCUUUAGGGCAGCUGUAAGCUGCGGCGUCCCAGGGAAUGCCAUCGUCGUCCCCGUCGCCAUCGUCAGGGCCACGGCAACCACCGCUGGGCGACAGCGGAAAGCGCCAGUUUAGUACCUUGCCACCGAAGCCACCGGCUGCAGGUGUCGAAGAACCUCAGUCGAGUGACGCGGAGGAACCGAUUCCGUUUCUCGCCACCAUGUCCAUGAACCAGGUCGGCUUCUUGCACGCCCGCAAGUGCACCAGGCGCGACCUCCUCGGUACUUCGCUGGGGAACCGUCCUGCGUCGGGCAAUGUGCUCGUCAACGGUGCUUCUCACGGCAACGAAGCAUUACCUGUUCCGGAAUCACGCUCAGCCACCUCCAAAUCCCUCGCAUCGGCAGCUUCUGCUCCUCUGGCCCCGAUGGCUGAGUCGGAAUGUGAUGUGACCAACCUCGAGCAGAUGCUCAUGCAGAUCAUGGACGCCGCCAAAGCGGCCGCGAGCACGGGCCAGACACCGUCACCUGAUUCAGCGCCGCAAAGCGCAGACACGCUUCCGGCGUGUGAGUACCUGCUGCGCACGUGCUUCCAUUUCGACACUGGCGCCUUCAAGCCCCGUCAGCAAGAGGUGUGUCUGUCGGUUCUCGCUGGCGUCAGCACGCUCGCCGUGUGCCCCACCGGCUGGGGAAAGUCUCUCUGUUUCCAGUUUCCCAUGCUUGUUCAUCGUCUGCUGUUUCAAUGCCGCUACACGCGGUGGUGCCGGCAAGCUGCGACGGCACCGGCAACCGCGCAGCAGUCAAGCGAAACGGCGGCCAAGGAAGGGCAGACGGCUGCCCCAAGAUCUGCCGGCGCUCUGCUAAGCAGCGGCCUACCGGCGCACCUGUUCAGCCGCUUCUGCGUCGUUGUAUCUCCUCUCCUCGCGCUUAUGGAGGACCAGGCAGAGAAAGUCAACGCCGUUGAUCACCUCAGCGCCUUUGUGCUGUCGGGAAAGGUGGGCGCUGACCGGGAGGCACGAGUGCUUGCCCAGCUCGAGUCCCCGGUCUGCCCGCUCGACAUUCUGUUCGUGUCGCCGGAGAAGCUCAUUGCGAGUGUGCCGCUGCGGCGUCUCUUGCAGACGCAGGCGCACCGGCUGGCGCUGGUAUGCGUGGACGAGGUACACUGUGUGUCCGGCUGGGCCUACGACUUCCGGCCCACCUUCAUGUACGUCAGCCGCGUGCUGCAGAGCCCCCUCCUUGGCGACCCAGCGGCACACCCAUGUCAGGAGCGGCAGGCAAUGUGCGCGAGGGAGGCGCUGGCGGCGGUGCCGUACCUGUGCCUCACCGCGACUGCGACGAAGGCCGUCACGCACGACAUCCAAGCCAGCUUCGGUAUUGUGCGGACGGUGACGUGCGGCGAUCAGUGGCGCGCGAACCUUCGGCUGCAGGUGACGGACCUAGUCGAGCGCCAUGCGUCAUUUCACCACCUCCCUUCAGCGUCUGGCAACGAUGCUGAGGCUCGGGAGCCGUCUGCGCGCGUGACGCAGGACGCGCUCCUAGAGGCGGUACAACAGCUGCCGAAGCCGAUGAUUGUGUACGUACAAAGCCGUGCAGACGCAGACGCGUUGUCGGGACUGCUUUCCUCCAAAUGUGGGCAAUCGCAUUCGCCGUCGCCAUCGGCGGCGUCGGGGACGCGCUCUGGUGUGUUCCACGCCGCGCACUACCCGCUUCCACGCGAGCAGGCCAGCCCAGCCUAUGACGCGGAAGGCGAGGGCACGGAGGAGAACCCCAAUGACGAGCAUGCAGAGGCGCCACGCGCUCCGGAGGUCGCGAUGGUGAUCCGCCCGUAUCACGCCGCGUUGACACAGACGAUGCGAAGCGCCACUCAGAGACAGUUUCUGCAAGGCAAGAUCGACGUAUUGGUGGCCACGAUUGCGUUUGGCAUGGGUGUCGACAAGGCCAACAUCCGCAGCGUCAUCCACGCCUCGGCACCGAGCUCGAUGGAGUGCUACGUGCAGGAGAUUGGCCGGGCGGGCCGCGACGGUGCGCCAAGCAUCUGCCGUCUCUUGUACAACCCUUUUGACUUCUACACCCUCCGGUGCCGACUCUGGGGCACGCUGCUCUCGCCGUCCGAGAUGCACUCCAUCGUGCGUGCGAUCUUGUCAUGUUCUGCCACCCACGUCGGGCAGCGACUCAUGCUUGUCUCUGUAUCCGCUCUUUCAGCGGAGCUGGGGUUCAGUGAGGAGAUCAUCGAGACAGUUCUUUUCCUGCUACUCACCACAACUCACGUCAAGGCUCCGCUUGCUGAGGACUUCUCCUCGUGCGCAUCCCCUUCUCGUCUACCUGCCCCUUUCAAGAGUGUUUGCGGCGCGUACCCUCUCAGCUACAAGGUUCUACGGGUGCAGGAAGAGGCAGGAAAGGACGGUGAUCCGGAGCUGGCGAGUUCAGCCAGCAACGCCACCCUUCACGGCAGAGCAACGCCGUUGAAGCGACGGCGCACUGGCGCCACAGCGGCACUAGGUGGCUCCUCCUCGGCCGUCGCCGGCGUGGGUCUUCUCCUUCGGCAGCUCGGGGCCACUGACACCGUUCUGGAGCUGUGCCGUGUGACACCAAACAUGCCGAACCAGAUCGAAAUGGCGAACAAGUUGUCGAUGCCGCUUUACGAGUUUCAGCAACGCAUGCAGGACCUCGUGGAAAGCGGUAUCGUAACGGUCGCCAAGUACGGCAGGUCGUCAGCUCUGCUUUUAGAGUUGGCAGACUCGUUCGACGAGGCGGCGAGUCCUGCCGGUCAGCAAGCGCUCGCCUCGCACCUUUUAGCUCUCCAUCGCGGUCGUCUGGAUGCGCAGGUGGCCGGGCUGCGACGGAUGUUCAGCGUCCUUCAACGCCCAACCCACGAAGCCAUUGCUGCUGAGCUGAGCAGGGAGCCCGGUUGGUGCGACACGGGGCUCGGCAACGGCCAUCGUUCAUGGAGGCCGCCAGGUCGGGAGAUGGGCAAGCUGAAGGCCGUAUCUCUGGUCAACGCCUUUGUCGAAGAGAAUCGCCUCCGAAUCCAUUCCACCUACGAGGCGCUGCGUGCUUUGUUGGGAAUUCGCCCAAGGAGUCUUAUCCAGCAUGGCAAGUACGCAGGGCAGCUCCCCUUGGCUCAGAGCUGGUACGUGAACUCCCCGUACUUUGGGGCGCUGCGCACCUUUGAGCUGUCUUGGGUACUACAGGUGCUUGCGCCCCACCACCUCGACGCACCAACCCCUGACGCGUGAGGCAGUAGUAACGCUCAGUAGCGUGACGAGAGAGGAGUAAAAGCGAAACCGCUAAACGCAUCCCUCCCCCUCCCCAAGACAAAAAAAAACGGCCGAGCCCUGGGGUCAACGAAACACUGCCCAUACUGUCCCGCAUGGAGCGUGCUCUUUCAGCGCGGAGUGUGUGGUGAAUCGACGUCGGUCCGGAUUCGUUUGUGCGCCUGCGCUUCUACGCGCGCGCAUGUGUGUGUGUAUGACGACUUCUUGGGUACCCCACUCUUCCCAUGAGCUUCCUCCUCCUCUUGUGCGUGCGCGGCGUAUUUAUAAACCAUGCCAUCUUGCCUUGCCCCUGCUCCCUCUUUACCUUUCCCUCGCCUUCUUUCUUACUGUCCGUGUCCUCCUCUUUUCCCUGUCCUUUGUGUCGUUAG
rnacentral:misc_RNA from 1 species